ensembl:snRNA U6 U6 spliceosomal RNA
UUGCUUUGGCAGCAGAUAUACUAAAAUUGGAAUGAUACUGAAAAAAUUAGCAUAACCCCUGUGUAAGGAUGACAUACAUGCAAAUUCAUUACAUAUUUAU